rnacentral:rRNA from 1 species
UACGUAGGGUGCGAGCGUUGUCCGGAAUUAUUGGGCGUAAAGAGCUCGUAGGCGGUGUGUCGCGUCGGCCGUGAAAACCUGCAGCUUAACUGUGGGCUUGCGGUCGAUACGGGCAUCACUGGAGUUCGGCAGGGGAGACUGGAAUUCCUGGUGUAGCAGUGAAAUGCGUAGAUAUCAGGAGGAAUACCGAUGGCGAAGGCAGGUCUCUGGGACUGAAACUGACGCUCAUGCACGAAAGCGUGGGGAGCAAACAGG